UAGCGUAAUCACUUGUCCCCUAAAUAGGGACCAGUAUGAAUGGCCACAUGAGGGCCUAACUGUCUCCUUUGGCCCCUCAAUGAACCUGAUCUCCCAGUACAAAAGCUGGGAUACCCACAUAAGACAAGAAGACCCUGUGGAGCUUAAGAACAAAUACUACCCCCAUAGUACCCCUUCUUUAGUUGGGGCGACUACGGAACAAAACAAAACUUCCAUGCCACAGACCUCCCCCUACAAUGGCCCACAUGCCACUGUACAAACCCGCGACCCAGUACUACUGACUAACGAACCAAGUUACCCCAGGGAUAACAGCGCCAUCCUCUUCAAGAGCCCCCAUCGCCAAGAGGGUUUACGACCUCGAUGUUGGAUCAGGACCCCCCGGUGGUGCAGCCGCUACCAAAGGUUCGUUUGUUCAACGAUUAA
rnacentral:rRNA from 1 species